CUCGCCUGGGGCUAGAAUCCUAGGUAUUGCCUGCCCAAUGAUAGUUGAAUGGCCGCAGUAUUUUGACUGUGCAAAGGUAGCAUAAUCAUUUGUCUUUUAAUUGAAGGCUAGUAUGAAUGGCGUGACGUAAGGUUUACUGUACAUCUAAUUUAACUAAACUUAAUCUGUAAGUCAAAAAGCUUACAUAAUACCGCAGGACGAGAAGACCCCGUAGAUCUUAAUAAUAAACCCGCUAUCUAAUUUGGAAUUUUAAUUACUUAUUAAGGUUAAGUUAUUUGGUUGGGGCGACGAGAAGUUAAUUAACGCUUCAAAUUUAAACAACAGUGUAAGGUUGAAUGACCCGGAGUCCGAUUAUAAAUACAAGUUACCUCGGGGAUAACAGCGUAAUCUAUUUUUAGAGUUCUUAUCAACAAAUAGGGUUGCGACCUCGAUGUUGGAUUAGGAGACGGUUCAAAUGCAGCAAUUUGAUACCGGGGUCUGUUCGACCUUUAAAUUCCUACAUGAUCU
rnacentral:rRNA from 1 species